GGUGGUUCUCAGGUGAUGCACCCCAGAAUGAACUCCCCUCCUCUCUGGUUCUGGGUGUGUCACCCAAGAACCCCA
rfam:Myotis brandtii contig317831, whole genome shotgun sequence.